AUAAUAAUUAGUUUUUUAAAUGGAGACUGGUAUGAAUGAUUGAACGAGAUAAAGUCUGUCUCAUUUAAAUUAAAUUUUAAUUUAAUUUUUAAGUAAAAAAGCUUAAAUAUUAUUAAAGGACGAGAAGACCCUAUAGAACUUUAUAAUUUUUAUUUUUUUAAAUUAAAAAUUAUUUUAUUAAAUAGAAAAUUAUUUUAUUGGGGUGAUAAGAAAAUUUAAUAAACUUUUUAAAUUUAAUUAACAUAGAUAAAUGAUUUUUUGAUCCUAAUUUUUAGAUUAUUAAAUUAAGUUACCUUAGGGAUAACAGCGUUAUUUUUUUUAAAAGUUCAUAUUAAUAAAAAAGAUUGC
rnacentral:rRNA from 1 species